CCAGAAGAUCUCCGAUUUUAUUUACAAAGAUCAUAUUUUGUUAUUUAUUGAUAAAACAAGCCAUUUUACCACAGCAGGUGACACAUAUUAGGCCUGAAUAAGACUUUAGAAUUUGAAGUGGUGGUGACGAUGCCGAUAUCCAAGAUGGCGGAAUUAUACCAGUGGUCAAAUCUCAUCUAGUUUGGGUAAUUGCAUCAUUAUUUCUUUUUGUGAUUGGUGAUUUGUAAAAUUGAGAAUGAUUGAAAAAUCAGUAUUUUUUCACCCAAAGGCAUGAGUGAACAUUUGAUAAGUUUAUUGUGAUUUAAUUGGUAAUUUGGUCGACAUUUUGACAAUUAUAUUUAGCAAUAUUUCGAUAAAUGCGGACCUGCUUCUUCCUCUUUUCGCGGUAACGGUGUUUCGAUAACUCAGUUAGACUUCGAGAUCUACAUUUUCGACAAAGGCCUGGUGUAAUAUUACAUACUUGAUGAAGGUAUGACACGAAUGAGUACAAGUACAUUACAUUUUUCGACGAAGGCCUUCUGUAAUUUCAUACACUUCUUACGCAACAUUCAAUAGAUUUAUUUACUGUAUUAUCAUUUCGACCAAGGCGAAUUCGACACUUCAGUUACACAAGGUUAGUAACUUUUGUUCACAAAAUCCAAAUGGAGGCAAAUACAGAACAAUCAAACUUAGUCAUUCCAGUCAGUUACUGAAGCACAGUGAAAACUGUCGGGAGCAAUGCAACUGAUGGCAUGUCAAACUUCCAGUGACUGUCCCUGUCCAUAUAUUUCAAGACAGUACAAAUCUUGUAAUCAUUUUGUUUAUGCAAUGUACGUUAUUAUGUAUCAUUUCAGCACAAUCAAACUUAGUCAUUCCAGUCAGUUACUGAAGCACAGCGAAAACUGUCUGAAUUAGUGCUGCUGAUGGCAUGUAAUUACUCUACUACCACUACCAGUGACAGUCAAUGUCCAUAUAUUUUCAAGUGUGCGAAAUUAGUACUCGUCUACUUCUUAGUGUUAUUUGAAUGCAAUGUAUGUCAUAAAAAUAUUUUUUCAACACUAUAUCAACAUUCUCAUUCCUGUCAGUUUCUGAAAAUCAGCUAAAGCAAUCGCUACCAAUGCAGCUGAUAACAGCAAUUCUUUUUGUUCCCAAUGCCCAUCCAUGACAAUAUAUUUCACGCAUGUGACAAUCAUGUAAUCAUCCUGUUUUUUGUGUUCUAUUCAUGCAAUAAAUAAAUUCAGUAUUUUCAAAUCAUUGGUGCUACAAAACUAUUCUCAUUAUAUAUUAUUCAUAUUUUAUAAAAUGCUGUCAUGUCAAAUUUUGUGUCCUAUAAAUCAUUAUGAAGUCGGCAUUUUAUAUACAACUUUUGUACUCCUCCUAAAUAAACAUACAAAUCUUGUUUUAUGUAAACUUUGUAUAUGUGACCCGUCACAGCAAAACCAGGCGCAUGUCGCUCUGAGCUUGGCAGGUUGAGACGGACUGUUCUAAUCUUUCAUUAGCGACACCAUUUCUUACCCGAGUGCCUCCUUCAUUCAUACAUCUUGUACUUUAACUCAAGAUACCCAUCUUUGAAUAUUUUUAGUAUACCAAGUACUACAAUGUCAAUGUAUUGAAGUCAUGUUCUUGUAGUGUUAUUGGCUUUCUAUUAUCUUGUCAAAAUACCACUUGGUUCUCGCAAAAUCUCAAUAAAAACAAAUGCUAUUGCAUGUAUUGCAUAUUCUAACAGCUAUCCACUGUAUCGAUUUAUCCAUCAUCUGUACUAUUUGUCACAAAAAUGUUAUAUUAUGUAAAUCAUAUUUCAUUACAUAAUGCACACUGCCAAUUACUGCUGAACCAUUCAUAUGUCAUUUAAAUAAAUAAUUUUCAACUUUUUAAAA